rnacentral:snRNA from 1 species
GUGCUCACUUCGGCAGCACAUAUACUAAAAUUGGAAUGAUACAGAGAAGAUUAGCAGGGCCCUUGUGCAAAGAUGACAUGUAAAUUCGUGAAGCGUUCCAUACUUUU